ensembl:snoRNA
GCUGAGGUCUAUCUGCACAGGGCUUUUCCUGCAGAAAAGGUGCCAUAUCGUUGAAAAUGUCUCAUAGAGUAACUAUGUGGUUUUGCUUUACUCACAGAAUUAUUCAUUGGAUCUGUGGUCCUAAAAGUGACCCUAAAGCAAUU